UACGGAGGGUGCAAGCGUUAUCCGGAAUCAUUGGGUUUAAAGGGUCCGCAGGCGGAUUUAUAAGUCAGUGGUGAAAGCCUACAGCUCAACUGUAGAACUGCCAUUGAUACUGUAAGUCUUGAAUUUGGUCGAAGUGGGCGGAAUAUGACAUGUAGCGGUGAAAUGCAUAGAUAUGUCAUAGAACACCGAUAGCGAAGGCAGCUCACUAGGCCAACAUUGACGCUCAUGGACGAAAGCGUGGGGAGCAAACAGG
rnacentral:rRNA from 1 species